UACGUAGGUGGCAAGCGUUGUCCGGAAUUAUUGGGCGUAAAGAGCUCGUAGGUGGCUUGUUGCGUCUGCCGUGAAAGCCCGUGGCUUAACUACGGGUCUGCGGUGGAUACGGGCAGGCUAGAGGCUGGUAGGGGCAAGCGGAAUUCCUGGUGUAGCGGUGGAAUGCGCAGAUAUCAGGAGGAACACCGAUGGCGAAGGCAGGUCGCUGGGCCACUACUGACGCUGAGAAGCGAAAGCAUGGGGAGCGAACAGG
rnacentral:rRNA from 1 species